rnacentral:lncRNA from 1 species
UCUAACAGUCCUGUCACCUCUGGUCCUCAGUAUAUAGUGUGUCCAUCUAACAGUCCUGUCACCUCUGGUCCUCGGUAUAUAGUGUGUCCAUCUAACAGUCCCAUUGCCGCUGGUCCUCAGUAUAUAGUGUGUCCAUCUAACAGUCCUGUCACCUCUGGUCCUCAGUAUAUAGUGUGUCCAUCUAACAGUCCUGUCACCUCUGGUCCUCGGUAUAUAGUGUGUCCAUCUAACAGUCCUGUCACCUCUGGUCCUCAGUAUAUAGUGUGUCCAUCUAACAGUCCUAUCACCUCUGGUCCUCGGUAUAUAGUGUGUCCAUCUAACAGUCCCAUUGCCGCUGGUCCUCAGUAUAUAGUGUGUCCAUCUAACAGUCCUGUCACCUCUGGUCCUCGGUAUAUAGUGUGUCCAUCUAACAGUCCUGUCACCUCUGGUCCUCAGUAUAUAGUGUGUCCAUCUAACAGUCCUGUCACCUCUGGUCCUCAGUAUAUAGUGUGUCCAUCUAACAGUCCCAUCACCUCUGGUCCUCAGUAUAUAGUGUGUCCAUCUAACAGUCCUGUCACCUCUGGUCCUCAGUAUAUAGUGUGUCCAUCUAACAGUCCUGUCACCUCUGGUCCUCAGUAUAUAGUGUGUCCAUCUAACAGUCCUGUCACCUCUGGUCCUCAGUAUAUAGUGUGUCCAUCUAACAGUCCUGUCACCUCUGGUCCUCGGUAUAUAGUGUGUCCAUCUAACAGUCCCAUUGCCGUUGGUCCUCAGUAUAUAGUGUGUCCAUCUAACAGUCCUGUCACCUCUGGUCCUCAGUAUAUAGUGUGUCCAUCUAACAGUCCCAUCACCUCUGGUCCUCAGUAUAUAGUGUGUCCAUCUAACAGUCCUGUCACCUCUGGUCCUCAGUAUAUAGUGUGUCCAUCUAACAGUCCUGUCACCUCUGGUCCUCAGUAUAUAGUGUGUCCAUCUAACAGUCCUGUCACCUCUGGUCCUCAGUAUAUAGUGUGUCCAUCUAACAGUCCUGUCACCUCUGGUCCUCGGUAUAUAGUGUGUCCAUCUAACAGUCCCAUUGCCGCUGGUCCUCAGUAUAUAGUGUGUCCAUCUAACAGUCCUGUCACCUCUGGUCCUCAGUAUAUAGUGUGUCCAUCUAACAGUCCUGUCACCUCUGGUCCUCAGUAUAUAGUGUGUCCAUCUAACAGUCCUGUCACCUCUGGUCCUCGGUAUAUAGUGUGUCCAUCUAACAGUCCCAUUGCCGCUGGUCCUCAGUAUAUAGUGUGUCCAUCUAACAGUCCUGUCACCUCUGGUCCUCAGUAUAUAGUGUGUCCAUCUAACAGUCCUGUCACCUCUGGUCCUCGGUAUAUAGUGUGUCCAUCUAACAGUCCUGUCACCUCUGGUCCUCAGUAUAUAGUGUGUCCAUCUAACAGUCCUAUCACCUCUGGUCCUCAGUAUAUAGUGUGUCCAUCUAACAGUCCCAUUGCCGCUGGUCCUCAGUAUAUAGUGUGUCCAUCUAACAGUCCUGUCACCUCUGGUCCUCGGUAUAUAGUGUGUCCAUCUAACAGUCCUGUCACCUCUGGUCCUCAGUAUAUAGUGUGUCCAUCUAACAGUCCUGUCACCUCUGGUCCUCGGUAUAUAGUGUGUCCAUCUAACAGUCCCAUCACCUCUGGUCCUCAGUAUAUAGUGUGUCCAUCUAACAGUCCUGUCACCUCUGGUCCUCAGUAUAUAGUGUGUCCAUCUAACAGUCCUGUCACCGCUGGUCCUCAGUAUAUAGUGUGUCCAUCUAACAGUCCCAUUGCCGCUGGUCCUCAGUAUAUAGUGUGUCCAUCUAACAGUCCCAUUGCCUCUGGUCCUCAGUAUAUAGUGUGUCCAUCUAACAGUCCCAUUGCCGCUGGUCCUCAGUAUAUAGUGUGUCCAUCUAGCAGUCCUGUCACCUCUGGUCCUCAGUAUAUAGUGUGUCCAUCUAACAGUCCUGUCACCUCUGGUCCUCAGUAUAUAGUGUGUCCAUCUAACAGUCCCAUUGCCUCUGGUCCUCAGUAUAUAGUGUGUCCAUCUAGCAGUCCUGUCACCUCUGGUCCUCAGUAUAUAGUGUGUCCAUCUAACAGUCCUGUCACCUCUGGUCCUCAGUAUAUAGUGUGUCCAUCUAGCAGUCCUGUCACCGCUGGUCCUCGGUAUAUAGUGUGUCCAUCUAACAAUCCUAUUGCCGCUGGUCCUCGGUAUAUAGCAUGUCCAUCUAACAGUCCUGUCGCCGCUGGUCCUCGGUAUAUAGUGUGUCCAUCUAGCAGUCCUAUUGUCGCUGGCCCUUGGUAUAUAGUGCACAUAUUUCAAAAAUACUGGUUGAUGUUUUAG